rnacentral:rRNA from 1 species
UACGAACUGUGCAAACGUUAUUCGGAAUCACUGGCUUAAAGGGUGCGUAGGCGGCUGUCUAAGUAGGGUGUGAAAGCCCCCCGGCUCAACCGGGGAAUUGCGCCCUAAACUGGACGGCUGGAGUGAGGCAGGGGUGUGUGGAACUUCCGGUGGAGCGGUGAAAUGUGUUGAUAUCGGAAGGAACGCCGGUGGCGAAAGCGACACACUGGGUCUCAACUGACGCUGAGGCACGAAAGCCAGGGGAGCAAACGGG